NNNNNNNNNNNNNNNNNNNNNNNNNNNNNNNNNNNNNNNNNNNNNNNNNNNNNNNNNNNNGUGCGCACGUGCACGGGGACGGCGCACGGCUCGCACAGACGUGCACACAGGACACGGCUUGCACGGGCACAGACACGGGGCACAGCUUGCACASACGUGCACRUGGACAUGGGACACGGCUUGCACGGAUGUGCACACGCACACGGCACACGGACACAGGGCACGGCUUGCACAGAUGUGCACACACGGCAAAUGGACACGGAGCACGGCUUGCACAGAUGUGCACACGAACACGGGGCACGGCUUGCACAGACAUGUACGCGGACAUGGGACACGGCUUGCACACACGUGCACACGGCUUGCACACCCACGGACGUGAUACACGGCCCACGGACGCGAUGCAAAGCUCACACGGACACGGCACACGGCUUGCACAUGGGGACACAACACGGGAUGGAACACGGGAUAGGACACGGGAUGUGACAUGGGACACGGGACACGCUGGCUUGCGCACACGGACAUGGCAGGGGACACAGCAGCUCGCACACGGGGACAAGGGACACGCGUGGCCCACGUGAUGGGGACACGGGACACCCGCGUUGGGGACAGCCAGCACACGGAGGCGCCCGCGGGUUGUCCCCCAUGUCCCCAGGCUGCCUCCGUGUCCCCGUGCCACCUGGUGUCCCACUGCCGACCCUGUGUCCCCGUGUCCCCRUGCCAUCGCRUGUCCCUGCUCCCUGGAUGUCCCCAUGCUGUCCCCAUGUCCCCAGGCCCUGUGCUGUGUUGCUGUGCCACCCCUGUCCCUGUGCCACCCGCACGGUGUCCCCAACUCCCACACUGUGGCCCUGUCCUCUGUCCCUGUGCCAUCACGCGUCCCUGGUCCUCACACUGUCCCUCAUCCCUGCACCAUCCCUUGUCCCCAUGUCACCUUGUGACCCCACGCCACCCUAUAUCCCCACAUCCCUGUGCUGUCCUGUGUCCCCACGUCCCUAUGCCAACUUGUGUCCCCACGCCAUCCCGUGUUCCUGUGCCAUCUCACAGCUCCAUGUCCCCAUGCCAUCCCGUGUCCCCACGCUGUCCCGUGUCCCUGUGCCAUCCUGUGUCCCCAUGCUGUCCUACAUCCCCAUGUCCCUGUACUGCCCUGUGUCCCUGUAGCGCCCUGUGUCACCAUGCUGUCCCAUGUCCCCACACCAUCCUGCAUCCCUACGCUGUCCUCUGUCCCUAUGUUAAGUCACAUCAUCGUGUCCCUGUGCCACCCUACGCUGCCCUGUGUCCCUGCAGCACCCUGUGUCUCCGUGCCAUCGCAUGUCCCCAUACUGUCCUACACCCCCAUGUCCCCGCAUUGUCCUGUGUCCCCAUGUCAUCCUGCAUCUCCUCAUCCUCCUGCUGUCCCAUGUCCCCGUGCCAUCCUGCCUCUCCUUGUUCUCCCACUGUCCCAUGUCCCCGUGUCACCCCACAUCCCCAUGUCCCCGUGCCAUCCUGCAGCUCCUCAUCGUCCCGCUGUCCCAUGUCAUCUCAUGUCCCCUUGUCCCCGUGCCAUSCUGCCUCUCAUUCUCCUACUGUCCCGUGUCCCCAUGCCAUCGCACAUCCUC
rnacentral:lncRNA from 1 species